GAAUGGUCCAGAAUUACACGAUUUUAAUUAAUUAUGGUAUCACUUGAGAAAUCGACUACGGAUAAUGAUUGUUGAGGUGUCGUAUCUAGGUUUGUUUUGUUAAUUGUUCACUGACGUCUUCUCUCUUCUUAAACGUGACGUGGCUUUCCUUUGCAGCCGGAAGAGAAAGACAGGUUUGCUUGUCUGAUGCUGAACAGCUGAAGUAUCGCUCGAGCCCAGUGUAAAAACCCAAUUUAAGGGAUAAUAAUGGUGACAGACGUGCAGCUGGCCAUAUUCGCCAACAUGCUUGGCGUGUCAUUGUUCCUGCUGGUUGUGUUGUAUCACUAUGUUGCUGUCAAUAACCCCAAGAAGCUGGAGUAGAGUCCCCCAAUAUGGUCGGAGAGGUGAGAUCGGACUCAAUGCCAUCACCAUGGAAACAACAUUCCCCACUUCCAGUCCCAAGAGAUGAAUUUCUUUGUAAGAUUGCACAGUAGUGUUUUUUU